rnacentral:rRNA from 1 species
ACUCAAAGGAAUUGACGGGGGCCCGCACAAGCGGUGGAGCAUGUGGAUUAAUUCGUCAUUAACCGAAGAACCUUACCAGGGCUUGACAUCCCGCGCUACCCGGGGAAAGCCGGGGUUCCUCUGGGCAACCAGGGGACGCGGAGACAGGUGUUGCAUGGCUGUCGUCAGCUCGUGUCGUGAGAUGUUGGGUUAAGUCCCGCAACGAGCGCAACCCUCACGGCCGGUUGCCAGCAGGUGAAGCUGGGCACUUUGGCCGAACUGCCCCGGCAACGGGGAGGAAGGUGAGGAUGACGUCAAGUCGGCAUGGCCCGUAUGUCCUGGGCUUCACACAUGCUACAAUGGGGUGGACAGAGGGCUGCAAACCCGUGAGGGGGAGCCAAUCCCAAAAACCACUCCUCAGUUCGGAUUGGAGGCUGCAACUCGCCUCCAUGAAGUCGGAAUCGCUAGUAACCGCCGGUCAGCUAUACGGCGGUGAAUACGUACCCGGGCCUUGUACACACCGCCCGU